rnacentral:rRNA from 1 species
AGCUAGUUGGUGAGAUAACGGCCCACCAAGGCGACGAUCGGUAGCCGGACUGAGAGGUUGAACGGCCACAUUGGGACUGAGACACGGCCCAGACUCCUACGGGAGGCAGCAGUGGGGAAUAUUGCACAAUGGGGGAAACCCUGAUGCAGCGACGCCGCGUGGAGGAAGAAGGUCUUCGGAUUGUAAACUCCUGUUGUUGAGGAAGAUAAUGACGGUACUCAACAAGGAAGUGACGGCUAACUACGUGCCAACAGCCGCGGUAAAACGUAGGUCACAAGCGUUGUCCGGAAUUACUGGGUGUAAAGGGAGCGCAGGCGGGAGAACAAGUUGGAAGUGAAAUCCAUGGGCUUAACCCAUGAACUGCUUUCAAAACUGUUUUUCUUGAGUAGUGCAGAGGUAGGCGGGAUUCCCGGUGUAGCGGUGGAAUGCGUAGAUAUCGGGAGGAACACCAGUGGCGAAGGCGGCCUACUGGGCACCAACUGACGCUGAGGCUCGAAAGUGUGGGUAGCAAACAGGAUUAGAUACCCUGGUAGUCCACACCGUAAACGAUGAUUAUUAGGUGUUGGAGGAUUGACCCCUUCAGUGCCGCAGUUAACACAAUAAGUAAUCCACCUGGGGAGUACGACCGCAAGGUUGAAACUCAAAGGAAUUGACGGGGGCCCGCACAAGCAGUGGAGUAUGUGGUUUAAUUCGACGCAACGCGAAGAACCUUACCAAGUCUUGACAUCCCUUGACGAUGCUGGAAACAGUAUUUCUCUUCGGAGCAAGGAGACAGGUGGUGCAUGGUUGUCGUCAGCUCGUGUCGUGAGAUGUUGGGUUAAGUCCCGCAACGAGCGCAACCCUUAUGGUCAGUUACUACGCAAGAGGACUCUGGCCAGACUGCCGUUGACAAAACGGAGGAAGGUGGGGAUGACGUCAAAUCAUCAUGCCCUUUAUGACUUGGGCUACACACGUACUACAAUGGCGUUAAACAAAGAGAAGCAAGACCGCGAGGUGGAGCAAAACUCAGAAACAACGUCCCAGUUCGGACUGCAGGCUGCAACUCGCCUGCACGAAGUCGGAAUUGCUAGUAAUCGUGGAUCAGCAUGCCACGGUGAAUACGUUCCCGGGCCUUGUACACACCGCCCGUCACACCAUGAGAGCCGGGGGGACCCGAAGUCGGUAGUCUAACCGCAAGGAGGACGCCGCCGAAGGUAAAACUGGUGAUUGGGGUGAAGUCGUAACAAGGUAGCCGUAGGAGAAACUGCGGCUG